GGUGGAACGGUCAUUUGGGCUGUUUGUACAUUGGUGCAUUCCUCUUGGUCCUGGUCUAUAUUUUCACUUUGUUUCUUAGUUGAGUUAUCACUACUAUAGAGUUUUUUAUAGAAAUCUAGUUGGUAUCCAUUUUUUCUCUGAGUUCAGCUGUUUAUAUGCUCUGUUUUGGCUUCCAGAUUCAACUAAAUUGUGCUCUAU